rnacentral:rRNA from 1 species
GAUGAACGCUGGCGGCGUGCCUAAUACAUGUAAGUCGAGCGAAUGGAUUAAGAGCUUGCUCUUAUGAAGUUAGCGGCGGACGGGUGAGUAACACGUGGGUAACCUGCCCAUAAGACUGGGAUAACUCCGGGAAACCGGGGCUAAUACCGGAUAACAUUUUGAACCGCAUGGUUAGAAAUUGAAAGGCGGCUUCGGCUGUCACUUAUGGAUGGACCUGCGUCGCAUUAGCUAGUUGGUGAGGUAACGGCUCACCAAGGCAACGAUGCGUAGACGACCUGAGAGAGUGAUCGGCCACACUGGGACUGAGACACGGCCCAGACUCCUACGGGAGGCAGCAGUAGGGAAUCUUCCGCAAUGGACGAAAGUCUGACGGAGCAACGCCGCGUGAGUGAUGAAGGCUUUCGGGUCGUAAAACUCUGUUGUUAGGGAAGAACAAGUGCUAGUUGAAUAAGCUGGCACCUUGACGGUACCUAACCAGAAAGCCACGGCUAACUACGUGCCAGCCGCCGCGGUAA